UCCCUGGUGGUCCAGUGGUUAAGACUCCACGCUUCCAAUGCAGCAGGUUCAAUCCCUGCCUGGGGAA
rnacentral:tRNA from 1 species